UACGGAGGGUGCAAGCGUUAUCCGGAAUCACUGGGUUUAAAGGGUGCGUAGGCGGCUAUGUAAGUCAGUUGUGAAAUACCUCGGCUUAACCGAAGGAAGUGCGAUUGAUACUGCGUAGCUUGAAUCAGGUUGAGGUAGGCGGAAUGUGGCAUGUAGCGGUGAAAUGCUUAGAUAUGACAUAGAACACCGAUAGCGAAGGCAGCUUGCUACACGGUUAUUGACACUGAGGCACGAAAGCGUGGGGAGCAAACAGG
rnacentral:rRNA from 1 species